AGGGAUUCCCCUAGUAGUGGCGAAUGAAGCGGGAAAAGUUCAAGUUUGAAAUCUGAGGUUUACUUCAGAGUUGUAAGCUGAAGAGGUGUCGACCGACCCGGUCCGGGCCCAAUUUCCUUGGAACAGGAGGUCACGGAGGGUGAGAACCCCGUCUGUGGCCCGGGUACCGUGGUCCUUGUGUCGUGCCCUCGAAGGGUCGGGUUGUUUGGGAAUGCAGCUCAAAAUGGGUGGUAAAUUUCAUCUAAGGCUAAAUAUUGGCGAGAGACCGAUAGCAAACAAGUAGAGUGAUCGAAAGAUGAAAAGUACUUUGAAAAGAGAGUGAAACAGUACGUGAAAUUGUUGAAAGGGAAGCGUUUGGCAUCAG
rnacentral:rRNA from 1 species